AAGACGCACGUAGGCGGACUGGAAAGUCAGAGGUGAAAUCCCAGGGCUCAACCUUGGAACUGCCUUUGAAACUCCCAGUCUUGAGGUCGAGAGAGGUGAGUGGAAUUCCGAGUGUAGAGGUGAAAUUCGUAGAUAUUCAGAGGAACACCAGUGGCGAAGGCGGCUCACUGGCUCGAUACUGACGCUGAGGUGCGAAAGCGUGGGGAGCAAACAGGAUUAGAUAACCUUGU
rnacentral:rRNA from 1 species